AUCUUGUGAAUGUUAGCUAACUAGGCUGAUAUAAAUCUUUGAGCUGUGAGAACUGAAAAGAUACUUGCAAGCAAUUGUGCAAUAACUAUAUUAAAAUAAAACAAAUUGGGUCCAAAGUCUAGACAUUUGCCUUUUAGCUAUAUGAUUCUUAUCUCUGUCAUAGAGUUUCUCCAUGGAGAUGGUCAGUCCCCACAGAAGAAAAGAUAAAAGGUCAGCAGCAGCGUUGGCCAAACAGUACAGUUUGAACUGGUAUAGUAUAAUUUUUCCUUAUUGAGUUAAUUAAAAGUGUAAAGCCAAAUUAAGCAUUAUUUUCUCUGAUAAGCCUUCUAUAUGUUCCAGUAGUAGCUCUUCUGCUCUUCGAAAAGCCCAGGUCUGGAUCCAACACCUUUUGGAAAACAGUAAAAUGAGGCUGAUUUCCAGCUGAGCAAAAGUUGAACUCAGAUAUGGAAACUCAAUAAGGACUUUACUCUGCAGGUCAGGAUUCCAGAAGAAUUUCAAGGUAUCACAGGCAAGUCCAUGCUCUCCAACUGGUUCCACACAUCCUUUGGCAGGGAAUGCUCUUUUCAGGAUUUUCAGGAACUUACAGAUGUUUCACCACUGUGUCGUUUCAGGGCAUGGCAUUACUGUUUCCUUCCUGGAAAGAACAUAUGGGGAGUUAGAUGGAGAUAAGGCCAUGCAAACUUGAGAUCCUCUUUUGAAUGGCUUCUUUUGCAAGCAGACAGAAUGGUGGAGAAUUCCUGUGCUUACAUCUUUCUUUCCAAAAUCCUGUUAGAUGGCCAACUCAGAUGCUUUUGUAAACCUGGACUAGUGCCUUCAUUUAGCCUGUCUAGGCUUUAUGGCCCUAAAUGUGCCACCAACUCCUUCAUCAGCUGGUUUUCCAGGCUUCCUUGGUGAGUAGCUACAAACCCAAUGCCACCAAGGUUUGAUCCAAUGUAGCCUUUCACCCUUCUGCUUUGCAGAACAAUCAGUUAUUUGUGUUGGCUCUCACUGCAAAGAGAUAGGCAUGAAACAGAAGUACUGCUGUUCCUGUGAGAAGGACAGAGCUAGUUUGUUGCCUCAAUAAAGAGGAGCCAAAGGCUUGGAGAGCCUUCAGGGGGCGCAGGAGGCUGCCUGUGUGCCAGGUGGACUUGCUGGGGAGGCAGCCCUGUGCCCCCAGGGUGCAGAGCAGACCCAGGUCCUCCCACUCUCUGUUUGCAGGGCAGCAGCAGUCGUGGUGUUCCAGGAGGACCCUGUCUCUGUGUCAUUGAUCACACUGCUGAUGUAAAAAGGACCUAACCACUGAAUCAGCCUGAAUAUGUAUUAAGAUGACUCAGACUGAAGAAAUAUGAAUGCUGCCUUUGUAAACUGUAAUAUGAUCUUCAUCUGCCAACAUACCACAACAUUAGGAGCUUAACAUCACGCUGAAGGACAUGAGGGUUAUAUGGAUUUAAAGAUGUUGAGUUCAUCUAGAUAGAAAAACUCCAUGCAGCUCUACAGGUUGGAGGACAAUGUAGCUUUGAAAAAAAAAGAGACCUGUGGGUCCUAGUGGACAACAAACUGAACAGGAAUCAGCAGUGUGCUCUUGCAAAAAAAGAAGGUUAUACACAUACUGGGUUGUACAGGUGAGAGUGGAAGCAGGUUGAGGGAAGAGAAUCUUCCCCUCUAUUGCUCUAAUCACAACGAUAACAACUUUAUUUUAUAGAAGUCAGAAAUCCAUAAAAUGCCUUACUGACUGUUAGCAAGGAAGAUCCUUAGAGAAGUCUUGCCACCAUACAGAGACAUUCAAAAAUAUCAAGCAACUACUGUCUAACUCCACAUUCAUCCAUUACAAUGAAAAGAGGCUGUUGCUGAUUAUGAGCUAUGCACCUUUUUGUGGUUUUGGAGAGAUUCUCAGCUGUUCAUUAAGAGACGGAAUUGAAGCACCUUUUUCUUUCUCCAGAAGAAUGCUGACACCAACAGAAAAAAGUAUGAAUUGAUUAAGGGCUUGCCACUCCUAAGGAUUUGCUUCAAAGACAGGCCAACAGCUUCAGUCAUAUUGCUGUGCAUGCAGUGAUGGAGUUGCUUGUAAGCAGUAAUUGAGUGCUACACUAAGUGCUUAUGAUCACACAACUUUUUGUGAGCCAGAAAAAUAGAUUGCAAAUGCCAGUGUGUGGAGAUGACAGCCAUUGCAUAUGCCAGAUUUUGCUCCUCCACCUGCAGCUGAAUUCUCAGUGCUGGAAUUCCUCCCGUGCCUUUUCAAGCCAACCAUGUCAUGAAAAUGGCUGCCAACGAUUUAUCCAGAGCUUGGAAUGAGUCCUUGGCUGGAUGGGGAGGAAGAGGUUGGCCAACAGAAUAAAUGAAUAGAGUUGAAAUAAUUUUUAACCCAGCAAUUUGAUCUGUCUGCUUACGAAGAAAAACUUUUGCUUUGCUAUUCCUACAGGAAAUCAACAGAUUAUUUUUGUUUUAGUUACAUUAUGUGUAGCAAAUUUGGAUGUACUGCUCCUAAAAAGAUUGACCAGAUGUUACACGUGAUGCUCUGGAAUCAAUGCUAUGAUGGACACAGUUGAAUGUGUCAGCCACCAAUAAGCACAGUGUUUCCCUAGGAUAUGGUCAAGGAUCAAAUUCACUGCCCUGUCCUUUUGAAAGAAUUUCUGAGUGUCAUAGGUUUCUAUACAAAAUGGCUUGAACUGAUUUUUAUUGUUACUGUGAACAUUCAUUUCGACAGCCUCAGCUCUUUCACAGCUAUUUUGCACGUCACACUUACUAAAUCUGUUGUAUUUGAUGCCAAAACUGCCUUCAAUUCUGGUAAGUUACAGUGUUUUCCCCAAGCAACCUGGUUUGAACUGUUACUACGGCAUCAUGCCUUUUCCAGGGAAGCAGUAGGAUCAAAUGGCUCAGUCAGAGAUGUUUAAAAAGGAUUACAAUAGGCUUACUCCCCAUUAGUCAGCACACUUACUCCUAUCCAACUACUGGAGUGAGCCCAGAUGAGCUAAACAUGGGACAGGUCAAGCUAAAAAACACUUCUGUCAGUUCUUCCUGUGUUAAAGUUGUGACACAGGUAAAAAUAAGCUGUGGAGUCAUCUUCUGUAAUUUUAUUUCCUUUGUGUUUGCAGAGUAAAUCAAAUCAGAAUUGCAAGAAUCUGUGAAGCUAGACCAAGUUAAGUUGCCUUGCUCAAGCUUUUGGGAGUCUUUACUGGAAGGAGCACUUUCAAAGUGUCAAGCAAUACAUAGAAAGAUCACAGUAGAAGUGAGUGCACACUGACACAUGGCUAUGUUAUCUAUUGGUAUGUGCACAGAGGGAGCCUGUAGGACAAGAGGCCAAUUGUGCUGCUCUGUUGAUAUAUGUAGGAGUGUUUUAUCUCGAUGCAGAAAAAUUAAUAAACUAAUGAAUGUUGUUCUUCCCUGUCUCUAGUGCUACAGCAAGAACCUGACAUACAGGAGGGCCUCAUUCAUGGGGCUUUUUGGUAUUGUGUUGGUGAUACUCCAAAAGUCAUGUUCAGUACUCCAAAGGUCGUGUUCACUUGGCUGCCUUGGUUUGUGUCAAAGGGCAAUAGGGAAAGAGAGAGAACAUGUAACAAGAAGAGUAAUGGUGUGAAAACAUUGCCUUUGUUCCACUGUUAUUUAAUCCAUCAUUUAAUCCCUUCAGUAGGCUUGCAGAGGAUGGGAUCAGCAGAAAGAGAAAAGCAUUGAAGAAGAUAUCUGGAAGAAGGAAAAUGAGGUUGUCAGAGCUUGGGUGACAAGCACGUGUGAACGUGAGACUAAGGUGACAGGAAGAGUAGAAGUUCAGAAACAUCACACUCAGUGCCAGAGCUGCCAUCAGUCUGAUGAACAAUACCAGGUUGGAUGUGGAUCUUUACUGAGGCUCGAGAGUGCUGCAUGGCAUACUCUGGGGUCCUGCUGAUCAUUCAGGUCUGCUGAUCAUUCAGAGCUGGCUGGAGCAUGCUGGACAUCCAUUCUGUUCCUCUUCUUUCCCUGAGAGUAAAGGUGUUGAGAAGUAGCUGGUAUUCAUCUGGAUUUUAUUGUCAUAUGGGUAAGAUAUUAAAUUUUUUUUUUUUUUUUUGAAGCACUGCCAGGACCAAUUAUUUAUAUGUAGCUGGUGAAGAGAUAAAAAUGAGCUACAGAUUGACUUUGAUAAGAGAAAAUUAAUUAUUCUCACGGUAUAGGAUAUAUCCCAGUACCAUAAUGCAGGAAAAUAGCCCCAAGCAAUGAGUCCUGGAAACUACAGUUUCAUUCAGUCAGCCCAAUGCUGCCAUCUCCAAACCAGCAACUUAAGGAAGCUGUGUAAGAAAACCACUUUGUCACACUGUCCAAUUUAGUAAGUAGCAUCAGAGGGGUUGGGGAAUAAUCUUGUGCUGACUUUACCCUACCACCACUGCUACUCAUAGGUCAGAUACUUCUAUUAUAUAUUAUAAAAUCAUAAAAGCAGGGUUGAAUUCUGGCCUGCAUUGUGUAUGUCAGAAGAUUCUUUUGUCUGAAAUGUAUGUUUUAAAAAUCCAAUUCAAUAUAUUUUUUUUUCCCCCGGGAAAAUAGUAAUAUAAAGCAGGAGUGACUUAUGGAUGGUCAGGGGAGAGAGAAGAAAAUGGGUCAUGAAAAAAGGAGAAAUAAUGAGACCAGAAUCACUCCUGCUAUUAUGGGUUCAACAUUUUUGCCUGUUAUGUGGUGUUGAUAAUGAAUUGAAAGAACAGUUGUUUAUUGAAAAUCUGGGAAUAAAAAUAGAGGUUUGGCUGUUGUUUUACAUGGAAAAAUGCUGCAAUGUGUAAAAAGAGCUAUAUAAGCUACUAAAUAAAUAGUUGUCUAAGAAUUGUCAUUACUCCAUCUGAUAGGAGCCUCAUUUUUCAUAUUUAUUACCUUUCAGGAUAAUGGAAGAUGAUAAAUGAGUUUGUGAAAUUGGGAAAUAAGCUAUGCUUUUCAUCAGGAAAAAAGUCUGGCGGUUGAGAUUGCAAAAGCUGCAGACACACUGUGAGAACAUCUGGGAAUCCUGACAGUAAAGUGUUGAGUCCAGCAGCCAAGUACUUGUCUGAGACCUUUGCUUUGCAACUGCUGGGUUAUCUCUGUCCUUUGAGACCAAUAUCAAGUCUUUUUACACUACCUUUCCAUCAGGUAAUAUGGUUGUUAUGGAGUAAAUCAGGGAUAAUCACAGCACUUGAUUAAAAGCAACAAAUUCAACAAUGAUUAUUUUGGAGGUAAAGAAGUAAAAUUGAAAAGUCUACGGGGGAAGCAGACCGAGAGUGCUGUAGAGAUACCAGCAGGGGGGAAUGCAGGUGAGACCACAGAAAUGGCAGGUGAGCAGUCAUCCAGGUUUCAUGAAGGUCUCCUCACUGUACUAUGAUCUGACUUGUGUUAGGCACUUUUUAAUGCUUGUACUGCCCUGGGGCGCCCUGAAGCCCCCAGCCCCCAGGGCACUGCCAGCCUAAGCUGCACUCUGCCAUUCUGUGCUGCUACAAUUACCUCAAAAGAUAGAUUUCCAAAAUUUUUUAACCUUAAAUUAACCUCAGGGAAGUAUUCAUAAUUCCCCAUAUCUCUGAAUAUUCCAUCUUAUUGCACCAUACACUGAAAUACAGUACCUGGAGACACUUGGUACCUUCCAGUGUGGUAAUGCCUCUGUUCUUCAUUCCUCAGGUCUAAAGAUCCAGAACCUUUAAAAGUCCCCAGAAUGCUCCUUUCAAGUCUAAGAAUCCACAGCUUCACACUAAAAGGUUCUCCAGCUGAGUUAUGCCCCUUAGUCAUGGAAUUCACACCCCACCCCCUCCACUGACGCAAACUUUGGAGAGCAGCUCUAUGGAGGAUAACCUAAGUGCUGCCUCCAGAGCUAAAGUUUACCUACAUCCAGCAUUCUCUGGGAGAAUGGAAGAGAGAACAUGGAAGCUUGGGAGAACAUGGAAGCUUGGGAGAACAUGGAAGCAACAGGCAAGAAAUAAAAAGCAUUGGCCUCAUAAAAUUACAAUAUGAUCUCUGAGUUUGGCUGGUGACCAUGCUCUAGAAGCCACAGCAGACAGGACACAGAGUCAGUUGUGAGAGACACUUUGUAUUCUCAGGACUGUUCAUAUAAAGAAAAUUAUUCCUUUAAUAUGGAUUAAAAUGCACACAGGUUUAGUGGUCCAGAACCAGAUGUGUGACAGGUGAGGUAGAAAGGAAAGGGAGUGGGACACCAGGGAAAGAAAAGAAACAAUGAGGUGCUCAGGAAACCUGAAAACACCAUUUUUCUUUAACAAAAUAGUAGAUGUUUAUCUUGGGAGUCAGUAUUCCAUAGGUAUAUAAUUUCAUGGAUAUAUAAGAAACAGUAUUUUUGAAGAUGUUGGAAAUACGUCUUUGUGAACUUCUAAAAACUCUGAAAAACAAACACUUAUGGGAUUUUAGCUUAUUGGAUUUGCUGAUGUUUUUUCUGUGGACCAAGAGAUGACUUGGCAUUUGAAAGAAAUAGAUGAAUGGGACAUCCAGGGUAUGGACAUUCAUUUUCAUUUGAGAUCAUUUGACUGCGGCUCACAAAAAGAACAUUUUCAUCAGUCAUUGCUUGGUUAGGAUUUAAGACUAUGGAAAAAAAAAAAGAAAAGGCAAAACCAACUGUGAAAUACGGUUUCUAGAUAUAGUUAGAUUUUUUGGCCAUCUUGAUUUCCUGGUGCCCUGUAUUCUACACACAGUACUGUGGCCAGAACAAGCUACUGUAGAUGUGAGAAGAAAAUGCAGGUCAUCCUGAUCUAAAGCACAUGUCUCAGCCACUCUAUCUUUCCUCAGAAUUUAGCCAGUGGUAACACAUUAAAACACUUAUGAGUCCAUUCAGCACAGGGCUGUGUUACAUAUGUAUGCUGGCCUACUCAUUAAAAUUCAUGAGUAGUAGUGCCUUAAACUUGCCUACUACAAGGAUUUUUUUGUUUGGAUAGUCCAGACAGGCUCAUAAAAGCCACCAGUACUUUAUAUUCUAGAUCCAACUCUGCAGCAAUAAAGCUCCUUAAAAAUUGCAUAGAUACAGAACUAAACCAAAUGCCACAAUAUAAAGAAAACUGUAAAAAUCCCACACUGUAUUCUUAAACUGACAGCUUAAUCAUUCCCUGUAAGAUUAGUGUCUGCGCACUGGCUGAAUUAAAGCAGAUCUUACAUUUCAUGGCUAGAAUUCCAGUAA